CGCUAGGGGGUGUUUCCAGAUAGCGGCGAUGUUGCCGGAGGCGGUGGAUGAAGAGAGUUCCAGAGAAGCUUUUCUUUUUGUUUUCUAAUUAUAUUUUUUUAAUUCACUUAUGGACACGACGUUCCAGUGCCAUCACGCACUGCCUCUCCGCGUCGGCAUCGUCAACUGUUGUGCGACGCGGUAAUGAAGGCAAAGCAACUUGCAAUUCCCUUUGCUUUCCGAGCUAGUCAUCUAGUUUAUUAAAGCGGAGCAGGCUCCACCAUUGAAAAGCUGUCUCCAAUCUACACCUUUGUUUUCACACAUAGAACUCAUUUGGUUCGAUAUAUAUAUAUAUAUACACACACACAAUUAAUAAAAAAUAGAAAACAAUAAAAAUAUUUUUAAUUUAAU
rnacentral:lncRNA from 1 species